CCUACGGGGGGCAGCAGUGGGGAAUAUUGCACAAUGGGGGAAACCCUGAUGCAGCGACGCCGCGUGAGUGAAGAAGUAUUUCGGUAUGUAAAGCUCUAUCAGCAGGGAAGAAAAUGACGGUACCUGACUAAGAAGCCCCGGCUAACUACGUGCCAGCAGCCGCGGUAAUACGUAGGGGGCAAGCGUUAUCCGGAUUUACUGGGUGUAAAGGGAGCGUAGACGGCGCGGCAAGUCUGAAGUGAAAGGCAGGGGCUUAACCCCUGAACUGCUUUGGAAACUGUGUAACUGGAGUACAGGAGGGGCAGGCGGAAUUCCUGGUGUAGCGGUGAAAUGCGUAGAUAUCAGGAGGAACACCGGCGGCGAAGGCGGCCUGCUGGACUGAAACUGACGUUGAGGCUCGGAAGCGUGGGGAGCAAACAGGAUUAGAUACCCGAGUAGUC
rnacentral:rRNA from 1 species